CAGUCGCCGCGGGAAUACGUAGGGUGCAAGCGUUAAUCGGAAUUACUGGGCGUAAAGCGUGCGCAGGCGGUUAUAUAAGACAGAUGUGAAAUCCCCGGGCUCAACCUGGGAACUGCAUUUGUGACUGUAUAGCUAGAGUACGGCAGAGGGGGAUGGAAUUCCGCGUGUAGCAGUGAAAUGCGUAGAUAUGCGGAGGAACACCGAUGGCGAAAGCACUCUGCUGGGCCGACACUGACACUGAGAGACGAAAGCUAGGGGAGCAAAUGGGAUUAGAUACCCCAGUAGUCCCUGUCUCUUAUAU
rnacentral:rRNA from 1 species